rnacentral:rRNA from 1 species
UCGAGCGAACCACUUCGGUGGGAAGCGGCGAACGGGUGAGUAACACGUAGGUGAUCUGCCCAUCAGACGGGGACAACGAUUGGAAACGAUCGCUAAUACCGGAUAGGACGAAAGUUUAAAGAUGCUCCUGGCAUCACUGAUGGAUGAGCCUGCGGCGCAUUAGCUAGUUGGUGGGGUAAAGGCCUACCAAGGCGACGAUGCGUAGCCGACCUGAGAGGGUGAACGGCCACACUGGGACUGAGACACGGCCCAGACUCCUACGGGAGGCAGCAGUAGGGAAUCUUCGGCAAUGGGCGAAAGCCUAACCGAGCAACGCCGCGUGAAUGAAGAAGGCCUUCGGGUUGUAAAAUUCUGUUAUAAGGGAAGAAAGGUGAUAGGAGGAAAUGACUAUCAAUUGACGGUACCUUAUGAGAAAGCCACGGCUAACUACGUGCCAGCAGCCGCGGUAAUACGUAGGUGGCAAGCGUUAUCCGGAAUUAUUGGGCGUAAAGAGCGCGCAGGUGGUUAAUUAAGUCUGAUGUGAAAGCCCACGGCUUAACCGUGGAGGGUCAUUGGAAACUGGUUGACUUGAGUGCAGAAGAGGGAAGUGGAAUUCCAUGUGUAGCGGUGAAAUGCGUAGAGAUAUGGAGGAACACCAGUGGCGAAGGCGGCUUCCUGGUCUGCAACUGACACUGAGGCGCGAA